GAGACAGCUCCCAGAGAGACAGGCCUAGAUCUGCCCUUGGAUCCAGGGCGAGGAGGAGAAGAGGGUAGUCAGAGAAAGCCCCGUUCAUCAUCGCUGUAACUAUCUAACCCAGCAUCUCUCCCUGACUACCACUCCUCUAUGUGUAGGUGAAGGGGGCAAUUUUUAGGGCACCUUUUCAACCCCUUCCUCAUGCUAGGAGAUGAAGUCCUUCCAAAAGGCUGCUCAGACACCCGGGGCAUGCUGGAUCCUACUGCUGCAUCCAGUGAGAAGACCCUAUGGCUUGGGCCAUCGGUGUGCAGGGUGGUGACUACCGCUCCCAGCAUGUCCACACCUGCUGCUUUGCCACUUGCCUGUUGCCACAGGACUUUGAGAGUCAUUGGAGUCCAGUGGCAAGAAAAAGUCAAGAUGACUGGUGAUGGUUCGGGGUGCAGAGGAUGACUCUAGGGUCUCUAAGUGCUCCACAGGGCCUGCUUCAGCCACCUUCUUGGACCUUGGACCAAAUUGUUCUCAUCUACCUA